GGGCCAUAGCUCAGUGGUAGAGCAGCCGCUUUGCAUGCAGAAGGUCCCAGGUUCAAUCCCCCGGCAACUCCU